AAAGUGGUGUUUUAGCUUAGAUUACUGUACCGGGGUAUUGCCACUGUGAUUAAAAAGUUUUCACUAAUGUAAAUUCACAUUUCUUUCUCUCCCUUUAGUUCUGUCACCCCUCUGAAGACCUGGUUCUUAGCUGCAGCUGCAACUCUAUCCCUGGACUCAUCUUUGAAACUACCCAGAGACAGACAGUCAAUAGCUUUAGAACUUUACAACAAGAUCUUCCAAGUGCCCUGAGACUUCGUGAUGGAGCCAACAGAAAUAAAUCAUACAGGACAAAGCCAGACCCUGGUGUGAGGGAUGCUUAUAAAACAGCAUAAACAAGAAGUCAUAUGAAAAAGAUUGUAUGGAAGGAAGAAGAGAUAAUGGAAAUUAAUUCAUAAGAGCCCCAACUAAAACACUUAUAGUAAAAUGUCAUUAGGACUGCUUGAUGUUGGUGAAAGGCUCAAGACCCAGGGCAGAAGGCCUGUUUGCUAGUUGGAGAAGGGAGAUAACAAGAGUCUAUUCUCCCACUUCUAAUUUCAUCCAACAGUGGUUGCUGAAGCUCUGAUGAGCAGGUGUGCCAGGGUUUAUUAAUCACAAGAAGACAUGAUGCUCUGACAGCUUAUGUCAACUUGCAGCAGGUAAGUUGCUGCCCUGUAAGCUGAAGCUACACAGGACUUUGUUCUUUCCCAAGUGGAAAGCAUAUAAGCAACUUCGAUUCAAGCGACCAUAAGCAACUUGUGAGUUUGGGUAUCAUUGCCUUGGUUAACAUAUCUUUUUUAUAUGCUGACCCCGAUGGUUGUGACUUAAGUGGCUAGUCAUUGUCCUCUUGCUGCAAAUUUGGAUUCCAAAUCUUCUUAUGUCCUACUAUUUCUGAUUCUAUGAAGUUCUAGAUGCUUUGAUUUCUUCCUUGCUUCUCUGGAUUUGUGUGCUCUAUAUAUUUAUGCCAUACUUCCUCAGUCUUAUCUAAAGCAUGCUGUCAACAUACCCACAUAUAUUUGACCUCUCCCUUAACAUUCAGGUACUGCCUGAGCCGACCACCACCCACCUACCAACUAUAAUAGAGGCUCAAACUCAAUGGUAGUAAGGAUUGGCAAUAUGAAUGCCAGUUGUUAGUCACAAUUUCCUCUGGGUGACUAAAUUUUUAUUUCACAUUGUCCAUGGGAAUAUUUAGUCUUAAUUUCUUUUAACGUAUAAUUUUAGAGCAAAAGAAAUCUAUUACCUCUAAAAGAAAUUAUCUGCAGAAGUUAUGAUGUGAGUUGAGAAAGGUUUGAUCCCUAGGGGAACUUUCAAAGUUACUUUACUAAGACUGCAAAUGUAAAAUACAAAAAGUCACGAAACCCGGAAGUUUGAUUCGGUACAGUAAUGUCAAAUGGGGUUCAAUGGGGUAUAUAUUAGAUUGUAUGACUACUUAAAUCCUAAAAUGUUUCUGGACAUACCUACAUGCCGUGCAGGAUAUUACCUUGUAACUCAAAACCUCACUCUUACCUAACUUUUCUCUAUGUCCAUCGUGUCUAGCUUUUUCUGUAGUUUCUGGCUUUCCUAGCAUCCUUUUUUCUAAGUGUUUUGCUCCAAAUUAAAUACCAGAUGCAAUAUUUAUUCAGUAUUUGAUAUGUCACAUUAAAAAAUCAUAAGAUUUGGGAACUAUAAAGUUCUCAAAGUGUGCUCAUGUCUAUUUGAUUCUCAAAUAAUUUCUUUUUUUUUUUUUUUAAAUUUUUUAUUUGAUU
ensembl:lncRNA